rnacentral:rRNA from 1 species
AUGGGUGAGGACGAAGACCUUGCAGCUGUUGAAUGGGACCCUUUGAACCCUCAAAUGGAAGAAGGUACAGUUUUUGCAUCCAUGAAUGAGUGUAGAAAUGCACUUGUGACAUACUGCAUCAAGGUAGAACGUACUUUCAAAGUUGACAAGAGCGAUCAAGUACGUUACAGAGUGCACUGUCCGACUGAGGGUUGUCCAUGGAGGCUGCUUGCAGCUAAAAUGCGGAAUAGCACUAAUGUUCAGGUCAAAGUGAAUCCUUUUAAGCACACAUGCCAGGAAUCAACCCUUAGGAAGGAUACAAUCAGUAGAGCCAAGUCAAGAUGGGUGGCAGAAGAAGUAAAAAAGUGGGUGAAAGAAAACCAGCAAGUGGGUCCAAAGGAAUUGCAGAAGAACAUCAAAGAUAAGUUCAAGAUAGAUUUACCAUACAUGAGGUUGUUCAAUGUAGAUCCAGCGUUCGGAGAGAGUUUCGAUGAAGGCUUCGAUGAAAAUGUUGGUCAGCAGCCGAUUGCCUCAACAGAUGAUGAAAAUGCCGGUUGCAUAAGAUGA